GGCUUCGAUGGUGUAGUGGUAGCACGCACCGCCGGUAUUGUUGAAGCGCAGGUUCAAGUCCCGUCUGUGGUCG